rnacentral:lncRNA from 1 species
GGUCGAAAUCUAGUUGAAAGUUAAAUUACCUUUACAAGAGAAUUAGCUUCUUCGGAUUUAAGAUUGAUUAUCAGGUAAAUAGUUUUUCUUCUAUUUUUUAUAUUUUUAAAAAGUUAUACCAAAACCCAAUGAACAAGUAACUUCGUUAUAAAAAAAACACUAUCAUAGGCUCAUAGCCUCUUGUCUUUUUGCCAAUAGCAUAUAAAAAUUGUCCUGUAUAAUAAUAUGUAUAACUUAAAACCGAACCGAUAUCCAGAUUAAACAGAUUUAAUAUCUCUUUACUAAAAAAUAACAACGCUAAUAAUCACAUCUCCCGC